GACGAACGCUGGCGGCGUGCUUAACACAUGCAAGUCGAGCGGUGAACCACUUCGGUGGGGAUCAGCGGCGAACGGGUGAGUAACACGUGGGCAACCUGCCCCUAGCUCUGGGAUAACCCCGGGAAACGGGCUAAUACCGGAUAUGACCUCGAGCGGCAUCACUCGAGGUGAAGGAUUUAUUGGCUAGGGAUGGGCCCNGGCCUAUCAGCUUGUGGUGGGGUAACGCCUACCAAGGCGACGACGGUAGCCGGCCUGAGAGGGCGACCGGCCACACUGGGACUGAGACACGGCCCAGACUCCUACGGGAGGCAGCAGUGGGAAUAUUGCGCAAUGGGCGAAAGCCUGACGCAGCGACGCCGCGUGAGGGACGAAGGCCUU
rnacentral:rRNA from 1 species